rnacentral:rRNA from 1 species
GAGAACGCUGGCGGCGUGCUUAACACAUGCAAGUCGAACGGACGAGUGAGAUAAGUUUACUUAACUCACAAGUUAGUGGCGGACGGGUGAGUAACACGUGGAUAAUCUACCUGCAACACCGGGAUAACGCUGUGAAAACGGUGCUAAUACCGGAUACGUUCCCUUGUGCGCAUGUAUGAGGGAAGAAAGCUCAGGCGGUUGCAGAUGAGUCCGCGGCUGAUUAGCUAGUUGGUGAGGUAAAGGCUCACCGAGGCGAUGAUCAGUAGCCGGCCUGAGAGGGUGAACGGCCACACUGGGACUGAGACACGGCCCAGACUCCUACGGGAGGCAGCAGUGGGGAAUCUUCCGCAAUGGGCGCAAGCCUGACGGAGCAACGCCGCGUGGGUGAAGAAGGCCUUCGGGUUGUAAAGCCCUGUCUUAUGGGAAGAAGUCAGUGACGGUACCAUAGGAGGAAGCCACGGCUAACUACGUG